UACGGGGGGGGGCAAGCGUUGUUCGGAAUUACUGGGCGUAAAGGGCUGGUAGGCGGCCAACUAAGUCGGAUGUGAAAUCCCCAGGCUUAACCUGGGAACUGCAUCCGAUACUGGAUGGCUUGAGUUCGGGAGAGGGAUGCGGAAUUCCAGGUGUAGCGGUGAAAUGCGUAGAUAUCUGGAGGAACACCGGUGGCGAAGGCGGCAUCCUGGACCGACACUGACACUGAGGAGCGAAAGCCAGGGGAGCAAACGGG
rnacentral:rRNA from 1 species